rnacentral:lncRNA from 1 species
GUAGUUGUGGGUGUAUGAGGCAAUCCCAGAGUUGGGGCUUGAUUCUCGAGUAAGAUUAGUGACAACCUUUCGAGAAUAUUGCGGUAGUCUGGCACUAGAAAACCUCAAUCGAGAAUAUAUUCAGAUAUCUUUAACAGGACACAUGUAAGCAUUUACAUAUAUGAUUGCACUUACACUUUCGGCAUACAUAAUAAUUGAUUUCGAUGACUUUUCCUCCCUUUCCAGUUGUACUUGUGGGCGAUGCUACCACUACUGCUGAAAGAAGAAUUGCAGCCGUAAUUUGCUGAUUUGGUUUCAUUGGAAGAUGCUGCAGAUCAGGUUCUAACCAGUCUCAAUGUUCAAUUAACUGAAAUACAAGAUUGUCCACAGAAGGCGAAGUGAUACAAAAUGAUGAGAACAACAACCGACAUAAGAAAUCUAGGAGAGGCAAUAUAAGUGGACUUCGUCUGAGGGAUUUCAGAGACGAUGAAGGUGGAGACAAAGGGCUUUGCGAUCCAGUCCAAGACUUGCAAUCAACUUCUAGCUUACUAAAUCAUCUACCGGUGAGCAUGUGACUUUAGAUAAGAUAAGAGCUAUGUUGACUAAACAGAGGAAGGCGAUUGGGAUCAGGCUGGGUGAACUUUACUGGUAUUGAACAGAAGAUGGGGGAUUAUGUGUACUGCAUAAAGGAUCAUGUGAUCGAUCAUAUAAGUAUGAUCAAAUGUAGGUUCGAGAAAGUGGUUACAUAAAUUGGGAGACAUAAUGUGCGUGAUGAGUACUUUGGAUUUGGUUGUGUUGAUGGUGAUAGAGAUAUGCAUGUACGUGAUGAUUAUGAUGAUUUGUCCUUGCCCAACACUACAAUAUGAUUAGACUAGAAGUUUCGCAAUAUAAUUUUAAUGAAAAGUGUGUUAUAAAUCCACGUUGGCAAGCAACUGUAAUUACAUAGAGUAGGAGUUGGUGUGUAGUCUUAUAAAGUAAUUACAUCUCAUUAACCAUGUUUCAUACCUCUAUAUAAGC